ACAAAUCAGUAGGGCUUCGGCCCUAUAUACACCCUAGCUGGAAGGUGCCGCAGUAGCGGUGCGGACCGGCUUUGGUUGCAGCCUGGCUGCAGGCUGGCGUCGCAAGACAACGGCCACAUAGACGCUUGUAUGUUUGACAGAGUUUAGUUGACACUUUUAAAAUGA
rnacentral:misc_RNA from 1 species